GAUGAACGCUGGCGGCGUGCCUAAUACAUGCAAGUCGAGCGAACAGACGAGGAGCUUGCUCCUCUGACGUUAGCGGCGGACAGGUGAGUAACACGUGGAUAACCUACCUAUAAGACUGGGAUAACUUCGGGAAACCGGAGCUAAUACCGGAUAAUAUAUUGAACCGCAUGGUUCAAUAGUGAAAGACGGUUUUGCUGUCACUUAUAGAUGGAUCCGCGCCGCAUUAGCUAGUUGGUAAGGUAACGGCUUACCAAGGCAACGAUGCAUAGCCGACCUGAGAGGGUGAUCGGCCACACUGGAACUGAGACACGGUCCAGACUCCUACGGGAGGCAGCAGUAGGGAAUCUUCCGCAAUGGGCGAAAGCCUGACGGAGCAACGCCGCGUGAGUGAUGAAGGUCUUCGGAUCGUAAAACUCUGUUAUUAGGGAAGAACAAAUGUGUAAGUAACUAUGCACGUCUUGACGGUACCUAAUCAGAAAGCCACGGCUAACUACGUG
rnacentral:rRNA from 1 species